rnacentral:misc_RNA from 1 species
GAUGAAGAACGCAGCGAAAUGCGAUAAGUAAUGUGAAUUGCAGAAUUCAGUGAAUCAUCGAAUCUUUGAACGCACAUUGCGCCCCCUGGUAUUCCGGGGGGCAUGCCUGUCCGAGCGUCAUUACAACCCUCAAGCUCAGCUUGGUGUUGGGCCCCGCCGCCCCGGCGGGCCCUAAAGUCAGUGGCGGUGCCGUCCGGCUCCGAGCGUAGUAAUUCUUCUCGCUCUGGAGGUCCGGUCGGGUGCUCGCCAGCAACCCCCAAUUUUUUUCAGGUUGACCUCGGAUCAGGUAGGGAUACCCGCUGAACUUAAGAAUAUCAAUAAGCGGAGGA